CCCUUAGAUGUUCUGGGCCGCACGCGCGCUACACUGAUGCAUUCAACGAGUCUAAAACCUGCUCUGAUAGGGGUGGGUAAUCUUUUGAAUGUGCAUCGUGAUUGGGAUAGAUGAUUGCAAUUUUUCAUCUUCAACGAGGAGUGCCUAGUAAACGCAAGUCAUCAGCUUGCAUUGAUUACGUCCCUGCCCUUUGUACACACCGCCCGUCGCUCCUACCGAUUGAAUGAUCCGAUGAAUAUCAUGGAUUGAGGAUGCAAGUAGGUUCACCUAUCUUCAUCUUCGAGAAGUGAAGUAAAUCUUAUCAUUUAGAGGAAGGAGAAGUCGUAACA
rnacentral:rRNA from 1 species